rnacentral:lncRNA from 1 species
AGGCUUUUGGGCCGCUUGCUGGAGCCUGCUCCUACUCUGUGAAUUGUACUUUUGCUUCUUCAAAGAAUCUGUGUCUUUGUUACUCUGUUCUUUUGUUACAUUGUUUGUCUUUCGUUGCUUUGCUCUUCCGUUGCUUUGUUUGUGUGUUUUGUUCGAUUUUUUGUGCAACACGCCAAGAAUCUGGAAAACUCACAGUCAAGACCUUCUAGCUGACAUAUUUUGGUGAGCCAGCCAGGAGAUGGGGGAGGCUGAGCAAGAUGGCCAAAUAGAAGCCUCUAUUGAUCAUCCCCCCUGCAGGAACACCAAAUUUAACAACUAUCUGCAUAAAAAAGCACUUUCAUAAGAACCAAAACUCAGUGUGAUUUGCUGCUCUUACCAUUAAGAGGUGAAAUCUCUUUCCUCGCUAUUUGAAUAUGACUGUGCCUGGUGAGUGACACUGAACGAAAGAAUGCAGCAGAAGUGAUGGUGUGCCAAUUCCAAGUCCAGGCUUUACUCUCUUGAGAUUCUUGCAAACAACGAUGUGUGCAAAUCCAGGAUGGCCUGCUGGAGGGAGACAAGUGAACCAUCACCAUCUUCACCCUGACCAACAGCCAGCCAAUCAUUAGACAGGAGUGAGGACAUCCUAGGCCAGCCACUGACCUGAUGACUGCAGAUCCAUGAGUGAGCUCUGCUCAGAUCAGCUAAAUAUGGCUGGCACCAAAAGAAUGACUCAGCUGACCCACAGAUUCAUGAGUUAAAUAUGUCCCUUUUGUUUUAAAUCACUAAGUGACUUAAUGAGUGAUAAAUGGCAUAGGGUUUAAACUAUCUUGUUAUGAAGAAGAAUAGUUGAACCACUUGCUCUGAGUAGAAGUCAAUGUAAGUCACAUUUUCAAUAAAAAAUACAGGUUUGUUGUUAUAUAACUUAAGGUAAAUGUGCUGGCCUAAAUUAUCUUUCCACUCUACUCAAGAGAAAUUACAGUCUGUAUUUCAAGGUCAUUCUGAUCAAAUUCUCAAAGCCAAUAAUGUCUCAAAAGUACUUGCAAAUAUUAAUAUAUUUUUAUUUGAUUUUAUUAGU